AGAGAGAGAGAAAAACUGACUGACUUAAAACAUGAAGUUGCUUAUUUUGGGAAAAGAAGUCUAUCUCCUCUCUGGACUGACGCCCAGUCUGAAGGAAAAGUGCCUUUGAGGACAAGAGCCCUCCUGUGUGACAGGCACGGCAGAAGACACGUGGCAUCCCUGCACAAGCUCCUCCAUCACAUUAACACCCCAGUUACAGCCGCCAAGGAAUCUACUUGUAGGGUAACAGCUCAUGCAACUCAACAUGACAUGUAUUUUGGCCUCAAUUAAUUAUUUGCUGUUUCUGGAUCAACCCAGCUAAAUGAAAGCUGAAUGGUUUGUUGAAAAUUCAAGUCCAUUUAAAUUCAUUUUCAUCUACGUAUUUGGCUUCUUUCUUCAAACAGCUGUCAUUGCAGAAGACU